CCUACGGGAGGCAGCAGUAGGGAAUCUUCCGCAAUGGACGAAAGUCUGACGGAGCAACGCCGCGUGAACGAUGAAGGCCUUCGGGUCGUAAAGUUCUGUUGUUAGGGAAGAACAAGUGCUAGUUGAAUAAGCUGGCACCUUGACGGUACCUAACCAGAAAGCCACGGCUAACUACGUGCCAGCAGCCGCGGUAAUACGUAGGUGGCAAGCGUUGUCCGGAAUUAUUGGGCGUAAAGCGCGCGCAGGCGGUUUCUUAAGUCUGAUGUGAAAGCCCCCGGCUCAACCGGGGAGGGUCAUUGGAAACUGGGAAACUUGAGUGCAGAAGAGGAAAGUGGAAUUCCAAGUGUAGCGGUGAAAUGCGUAGAGGUUUGGAGGAACACCAGUGGCGAAGGCGACUUUCUGGUCUGUAACUGACGCUGAGGCGCGAAAGCGUGGGGAGCAAACAGGAUUAGAUACCCUGGUAGUCCACGCUGUAAACGAUGAGUGCUAAGUGUUAGAGGGUUUCCGCCCUUUAGUGCUGAAGUUAACGCAUUAAGCACUCCGCCUGGGGAGUACGGUCGCAAGACUGAAACUCAAAGGAAUUGACGG
rnacentral:rRNA from 1 species